rnacentral:rRNA from 1 species
UACGGGGGGAGCAAGCGUUGUUCGGAUUUACUGGGCGUAAAGGGCGCGUAGGCGGUCGUGACAAGUCACUUGUGAAAUCUCCGGGCUUAACUCGGAACGGUCAAGUGAUACUGUCGGACUAGAGUACAGAAGGGGCAACUGGAAUUCCUGGUGUAGCGGUGAAAUGCGCAGAUAUCAGGAGGAACACCGAUGGCGAAGGCAGGUCUCUGGGCAUUAACUGACGCUGAGGAGCGAAAGCAUGGGGGAGCGAACAGG